rnacentral:rRNA from 1 species
CCUANGGGAGGCUGCAGUGGGGAAUUUUGCGCAAUGGGCGAAAGCCUGACGCAGCAACGCCGCGUGGGUGAUGAAGGUCUUCGGAUCGUAAAACCCUGUCGUCAGGGACGAAGGUUAGGGGGUUAAUAACCCUUUAGCUUGACGGUACCUGGAGAGGAAGCCCCGGCUAACUCUGUGCCAGCAGCCGCGGUAAUACAGAGGGGGCAAGCGUUAUUCGGAAUUAUUGGGCGUAAAGGGCGCGUAGGCGGUUUUUUAAGUCAGAUGUGUAAUCCCCGAGCUCAACUUGGGAACUGCAUCUGAGACCGGAAGGCUAGAGUACUGGAGAGGGUGGUAGAAUUCCACGUGUAGCGGUGAAAUGCGUAGAGAUGUGGAGGAAUACCAGUGGCGAAGGCGGCCACCUGGACAGUAACUGACGCUGAGGCGCGAAAGUGUGGGUAGCAAACAGGAUUAGAUACCCCGNUANUC